rnacentral:rRNA from 1 species
AGUGAACGCUGGCGGUAGGCCUAACACAUGCAAGUCGAACGGCAGCACAGAGGAGCUUGCUCCUUGGGUGGCGAGUGGCGGACGGGUGAGGAAUACAUCGGAAUCUACUCUGUCGUGGGGGAUAACGUAGGGAAACUUACGCUAAUACCGCAUACGACCUACGGGUGAAAGCAGGGGAUCUUCGGACCUUGCGCGAUUGAAUGAGCCGAUGUCGGAUUAGCUAGUUGGCGGGGUAAAGGCCCACCAAGGCGACGAUCCGUAGCUGGUCUGAGAGGAUGAUCAGCCACACUGGAACUGAGACACGGUCCAGACUCCUACAGGAGGCAGCAGUAGGGAAUAUUGGACAAUGGGCGCAAGCCUGAUCCAGCCAUACCGCGUGGGUGAAGAAGGCCUUCGGGUUGUAAAGCCCUUUUGUUGGGAAAGAAAUCCAUCUGGUUAAUACCCGGGUGGGAUGACGGUACCCAAAGAAUAAGCACCGGCUAACCUCGUGCCAGCCGCCGCAGUAA